GUUAAGAUUGCUUCAGCCUGUCCAGAUCCCUCUGCAGCACCUUUCUACCCUCAAGAAGAUUGAUACUUCCUCACAGCUUAGCGAGUUCCUCUUUCUGCUGCCUGUGUGCGUGUGGUGAUGGUCACGCGUGGUCCUCAUCAAGUCCUGUGCAGUGCUGCUGGUCUCAGACACUCUGGAGUCCUGAGUUCCUGGGCAGGUUUGUCCUCCAUGGCAGGUUGCAACCAUGCAUUGUGAAGGUCUCCUGGGCUGGCCAAAGUUGUCCCUUCCUGCCAUGGGGAGACCCAGCUCACAGCUGCUCAACGGCCUCUGGUUUCGCCAUCUCUGUGGUUACAAGAAAUGGGAACCAACCAAAAAUGAAGCAGUACUAGAGAGUCCUGCCAUCCUAAGGGCUGUGGACAGCUCAUGAGCAUGCCACGUUCAUUGCUUUGCAGAGCAACCUCCACCCAGCAGCAAUAAUGACACUUCCUGUCUUAA